rnacentral:rRNA from 1 species
UACGAAGGGGGCUAGCGUUGCUCGGAAUCACUGGGCGUAAAGGGUGCGUAGGCGGGUCUUAAGUCAGGGGUGAAAUCCUGGAGCUCAACUCCAGAACUGCCUUUGAUACUGAAGAUCUUGAGUUCGGGAGAGGUGAGUGGAACUGCGAGUGUAGAGGUGAAAUUCGUAGAUAUUCGGAGGAACACCAGUGGCGAAGGCGGCUCGCUGGCUCGAUACUGACGCUGAGGUGCGAAAGCGUGGGGAGCAAACAGG